GGUAGGAAAAAAAAAGACAAAAAUGGUAUUCUCAGGUGAGCUUACCUUUCAAAUUUUUCUGAGACUUCCUAAAUGUGACAAGAACUCUGCUGUGUGGCAACCUUAUGUAUCCACAACAGAACUAAGGACCGAAAAAAAAAAAAAAAAGAUCUCUAUCCCAAUAGAUUUUAUAAAAUCCAUACUCUAAAACUCCUGAGUUUUACAUGUACCCUAAAACUUAAAGUAUAGUAAAAAAAAGAAAAGAAAGAAAAACUCUUUAACCCUUUGUUUAAAUCCUAUUAACUCUUAACGAUACACAGUUCGAAUUAUCUAAAUGAAAUAAUUUUCAAGCACAUAACAGAUUAGAAACAGAGAAUGAGAAAGGUAUAGUAGAUAUUAUGUAAAUAAGCAGAAAUAAUGGCAAUAAUUAAACACACUAUCUCUACCUAAAAGAACAGAGAUAGAAAACUCAUAUAAAAAUCUAAACUACAGUUUUAUGGGGAUAGUUAAGGUAAGAGCCUGCAGGCAGCACUGUAUUGCUUUACAAAACAGCAUUUCAUUUGUAUUAUGAUGAUUUCAGACUAUCAAUUUAAAAAUUCAUUAGUAUAAAUUAAGAACAGGUACCAUUUUCUCCAGAUACUUCCCCUUCAUCUGUCCUGAAAUUAUUAAUUAUUGACUUCUACUUAAAUAAGAUCUUAUUUUCAUCUGCUGGAAAACUUUUUCUGAUAACCAUACAUAUCUUCAAUGUCUACAAUUUGAAUGGAGAGCCCUUUCAAUGUGGCGUUUCUGUUUCUUCCAUAACCUCACAACGAUAUGUGGUGGCCCCGCAGUCAUUAUGGUCUUGUUAAAUAAUUAGAUUUGUGUAAACUAUAUUUUAGAGUCUUCCAAAACGCCUCUCCUUCCAAAAUGGCUAAAAGGGCAAAGCGUCAGUAAUUCUGUAGACAUGCUUCAUGCAUGUUCUGAAUAGGAGCUAUGGUAUAAUGAGAUGCUAUCUCUGGAAAAAAAUGAAUAGAUUUUCAAGAUUGUGAGUCCUGACAUGAGUUCUCUAGAAUUUUCCCCUUUGAUAAAUUUUCCUUUACCUAGCUGUUGCCAAAUUGUCUCUUCUAGAAGAAUGCCCAGAUUUUUUUUCAGUUCCAAAGUUAUCAAAAUCCCAGGAAUAUUUCACAGAAAAGAGAAGCAUUUAUAGCAAGCAUGGGUGUGGCAUGCUUUCUCUGUGGGAAGUUGUCAUCCUCCACAAGAUCUUGCCCACACUCAAAACAAACUUGCUUCCCAUCACAUUCUUGGUUUGUCAGCACUCUGUAAAAGGAAAUCUCAUCUCCUGUCUGUUGAUAGUAGAGCUUAUAUCAAACUGGGACAUGUUUCUUCUUCAUUCAUGAAUAAGUCUAAUUUUCUCUCCGGUGUGUAAAACUGACAAUACCCACAAGAUACUACUGACUUGGAAGUUUCACUGCAGGUAGCUACCAUACCAGCAUUUGGUAAACUAGCUCCCUAGGUGAGACAGCAUUAGAUGACCUCCUUCGUGCCACACUACUUGCCAGUAUCCACUGGGAGACAAAUUAUGAUUGUUGCGUCCUUCUUUGAAAACACCCCUGCUGAGUACCUACUGUAUGUGAGUCACUGUGCAGGCACUAGAAAUAUAAAGCAAAAAAAACAGAUUCUACCCACCGGGAGCUCCUAGUCCAGUGGUGAAGAGGUGUAUUAACCCUCAAGGCCCUAAGAAAAUCCCCAAUAGGGCUCUGCACAAGCCGGGCUCUGAUAGGAGGUGCCAGUGCUUUUCUUCUUCCAGUUUCAGAGCCCCAGCGAUCCCAGGAUGAAGGAGAGCCCAUUUGCAACCCUCUUCUGUCUCCCUAAGCAUUCAACAAACACUUAGUGACCAUCUGUCUUGUGCAAAAAGCUUGGGGAGUGAUAAAAACAAAUCAAAUUCACAUUUUAAUUUAGGGAGUUUAGGAGAUACAUCCUAGUGUGGAUUUCACAUGGUCAAUGAUUUGCUUUCCUUGAAUUUGCCCUCUGCAACCAACACCUGUUCGUGCUAUGAGACUGAAGUCCUCCUAGACCGCCCCAUUCAUCUGAGUAGUUAGGGCUCUGGAUGAAGGAGCAAAUGGACAAAAUAAGCCCCCUCUUGCUCAGGACCUGACUAACAUUUCAGAACUGCGGUCACCCAUUUUAUACAAACCAAAGCACUUCUGACAGACCUCUGAAUUUGCAUUAAAAAGAGCACGUCUACAGCUCCUAACAAUCAAAAACAACUAUGAACACUGCUUGCUUCAGUGAUACAAACAGACAUUUUCUUGUUACAUGUGUGGUGAUCUGAGAAUGGUGACUUUGGACCCAGUUUGACUGGUUAGCGUUUAAAUAAAACUUAACAGACUAGGCAACUAAAGGAACUCAGUAAAAGAUCAAAAGCAAUGCUCAAAGGGAGUGCCUGGGUAACCAUGAUGUAAUUGCAGAUUGACACAUCUUUGGGUUUUUCAUUAUUGUUUCUAAAAACUAGAUAUUAUUGCUUUAUUAUUAUGUUGAUGAUGAUUAUUGAAAGCACGAUAGCAAUGUUUAAGUGGUGAGAAUGACUCUAAGCCUCUUUUUGUUGCUGUGACUGACAGAACUAAAGGGAGUUUGCUCUCACAUUCACAAUACCAACUCUGCCAUCUUAUGGAAAAUAUUGGAAGUACCUAGGGCAUUUCAUUAUAUUUCAAAGGCACAGGUUGCUGGUAAGAGGGACAGAAAGACAAGAACAUAGUACCUUCUAUUUCUACUACAUGUUUUUAAUCUUUAACAUUUUUACCAGCAGAAAUCAUUUUUUUUUUAAAUCUCUCAAUCUUCAAAUAAUUCUUAGAUUGCUUGCCAGCAAAGAUGUCUCUUGAUCUUGACACUGGAAUUCAAUGUAAAAAUCUUGAAUGAUAUUUUGUACUGAUAUGAAUUUCUACUGUCCCAUAACACUGUGUAGUGACUUCACUGUAUAUUAACUUCUUUUCUACAGAUGUUUGACUUAUGAGAUGAAUUAAUUGAAAAAGUCAAAGCCUAUCAGGAGCUAUCUUAUAUGAUGUUGGUAGCCUGUGAAAAAAUAAAUGUCUUUUUUCUUAUACAAACUGAUAACAAGACUUGCUUUCACAAUUACUAUUUACAUUUUUGUGCAUAUAAUGCCUGUAUAUUAUACUCAUAUUUGAAAGUGAUCAGAAAGUGUUAUUUAACAGAAACUACAUACAUUUUUUAUGUCUCUCUGGACCCUUUGAUUCUAAGUAAAUUUACAGUAAGUUAGCAGUAAUAGACUAUUCUUUUCAACUAUGAAUAAAAAUGUACACUGAAGUA
rnacentral:lncRNA from 1 species